GCCCCAUUCAUCUGCUAGGGCAAAAUGGCUUCCAAUAGGUUCAUCAUAAAAAUAAUCUAUACCAAUGAAUAAAACAAGCAAUGUGUUAGUCUAUUCCUAUAACACAAUGCUAUAACUAAUUAAAUGCACAUAUGGUCUAAAAUAAUUCCCUCCCUUGUGGUACACUCAACUGUUUUGAAAUUUUAAGUGCCUUUCUUUAAAAAAAUUAUAUUUGCAGUAAAAAGGGUAAGAUAAAAAGUAACCGGCUGAUUAAAAACUCAGAGAAUGCAAUUCCAUUUUGCAGGAGACACCAGCAAUCAUUUGCAGGAGAUAUUGAUCAACCAGAGAAUGCACAUUUCUGAACCAGAGUCUGAGAAGCCCUAUGUGCCACAAGUCCUCUGUCUGCCCCCGGCCACUGCCAGCAUCACGAGGCCAGGUGAGCUUUGUUCUCUAUCGUAUUCAUGGGUUCUGCUACUACGCCUAAUGAAGAGGUGCCUCAUGAACCUUGAGUCAAAAUAAGCAGUGGAUGGAUAUCUUUGUUAACAUCUUGUUCUUGCUUAGCUUACCUGCUCUGAUGUGUCUGAAUUUCUCUCCUCUCCUGUGUCUCUUCAUGACCUCCUUUGCUUGCUUCUUUCUUGCCCUACUGUCAGCAUCUCUCAGUUCCUUCUUUCUCUCCCAACCCUUGAAUGUGUAAACUUCUUAGGCUUCAGCCCUGAGCCCUCUGCCUCUCUCUUUCCACACCCACUCCCCCUGGGCUCACCUACUUCAGCAGCUUUCAGGCUCCUGCGGGAGAACCCCCCCCCCGCCCCCAGAUCCUGGCCCCAGGCUGAACCUUCUCCUGGCUCCUGCUAUCUUCCAGGUGCUCGCUGGAGUAGGUCCAGAAUUGAAGUCUCUCUUCUCCUCAGUCAGGCUGAUGGCGGGACUCUCCCCAGAAACCACUGGGAUUCAACAUAGAGCCCAGAGGGGCCAAGCUUUGAGCACGAAUAAAUCUGAAUAGUCAUCUUAUAGGAAGUACAAGUAGGGGAUGCAUGGCGCUCCUGUAAGAAAAGAGGCUCCUCACCCUUGGACCAGACAAAGAGGGGGCUCUGCUGCAGGGCCCUGGGAUGGUGG
rnacentral:lncRNA from 9 species